GCCCGGCUAGCUCAGUCUGUAGAGCAUGAGACUUUUAAUCUCAGGGUCGUGGGUUCGAGCCCCACAUUGGGCG
rnacentral:tRNA from 2 species